CAAAAAUGUUUUUCAAGAAAAACGUAAUCACCGAUGUACUUUCUUCUGACACGGGCAGAAUAACAAUCCAUCACGUUAUAUAUAAAACAACACAGCGCUUCCUCUUAGAACCUUACACAUUAUAUAUUAUGGUAGUUUAGAAUAAAAAAAAAAUAAAUAAAAAGCGAAAAUAAAUUGAGGUGAAAAAAAGUUAACUACAUUGAUUACGCGAGAUCUUCAAAAACGAAUGCAAAAUUGCAAU